AACAGGAUUAGAUACCCUGGUAGUCCACGCUGUAAACGAUGUCGACUUGGAGGUUGUGCCCUUGAGGCGUGGCUUCCGGAGCUAACGCGUUAAGUCGACCGCCUGGGGAGUACGGCCGCAAGGUUAAAACUCAAAUGAAUUGACGGGGGCCCGCACAAGCGGUGGAGCAUGUGGUUUAAUUCGAUGCAACGCGAAGAACCUUACCUACUCUUGACAUCCAGAGAAUUUGCUAGAGAUAGCUUAGUGCCUUCGGGAACUCUGAGACAGGUGCUGCAUGGCUGUCGCCAGCUCGUGUUGUGAAAUGUUGGGUUAAGUCCCGCAACGAGCGCAACCCUUAUCCUUUGUUGCCAGCGAGUAAUGUCGGGAACUCAAAGGAGACUGCCGGUGAUAAACCGGAGGAAGGUGGGGAUGACGUCAAGUCAUCAUGGCCCUUACGAGUAGGGCUACACACGUGCUACAAUGGCAUAUACAAAGAGAAGCGAACUCGCGAGAGCAAGCGGACCUCAUAAAGUAUGUCGUAGUCCGGAUUGGAGUCUGCAACUCGACUCCAUGAAGUCGGAAUCGCUAGUAAUCGUAGAUCAGAAUGCUACGGUGAAUACGUUCCCGGGCCUUGUACACACCGCCCGUCACACCAUGGGAGUGGGUUGCAAAAGAAGUAGGUAGCUUAACCUUCGGGAGGGCGCUUACCACUUUGUGAUUCAUGACUGGGGUGAAGUCGUAACAAGGUAACC
rnacentral:rRNA from 1 species